rnacentral:tRNA from 1 species
GGAAGAGUGGCCGAGCGGUUUAAGGCACCGGUCUUGAAAACCGGCGAGGGCGCAAGCUCUCCGUGGGUUCGAAUCCCACCUCUUCCGCCA